UUCCGUAUCCCUCUGGCCAGUCUGAGGGCAGUGCUGAGUGCAGUGGACAUCACCACAGUCAGACAGAUACUGCAGUACUUCAGCAGGAACCAGGGAACACUGCAGCUUACAGAUGACUACCUAGGCACCAUGGUAUCUGUGCUUUUCCAGACCCACUUGGUCAGGGACGGCAGCCUCUUUCCCGAACUGGUACCCCUACUUGCCCUGGUCAACCCUGCAGACAUCCAGUCACUGCCCCCCUUACAGACCAACCUCAGUGUGAGAGAUACCAUCAACAGCAUCAUCAGGAGCCUGUCGGCAGAGCAGCGCAGGGCCUUUGGGAGGUGGUACAGCCGAGCCUCAGCUC